UCUUUCUCUGUCGAAUAAAUAAAUAAAAUAUAUAUGUAUAUAUUUGCAUAUUUUACUACAGACUUUUGAGGCCAUGUAUUUCCGAAUAUCCUGUUGGAAUAAUUUCAUUCAUUGUGUAUUUUAGAAAAAAAAUUCAUUGGUCUCAUCUUUUGACAGUCAUUUAUGAGUAACACUCCUGAUAUAGGACUCAACUGCUAUGUAGACAAGUGGUAAAUGUCUCCAUAUUUUGACUGCCUGGAAAAGCACUAUGUUUGUACAUAGUUUGCAGGUCAACAUGGAGACUGCUGUGUUUCAUACAUGUUAAAAUUAACAUGUAUAGCAUGUAAAAAAUGUUAAUUAGCAAUGUCCCGUAAGAGCUAUCAGUGUUAAGGUUAGAUUCUGCCAGUUGACAUUCACGAGUUUUUGAAAACUGCACAUUCAGCUAAAAUACCACUUAAUUCAUUUAAAUGGAAACUUUGUUUUUCAGUGAAAUAGUACCUGUUCAGUUUCCUUGUAGAUCUCAGGAUCAGAAGAAAGGCUUUCUCCCAGCUCUAAAAUAUUCAGGUUUUCUUUUACUCAUUCUGGUCAGCCUUUUAAACAAGCAAGACAAUAAGCUCCUAUUUCUCAUAUCCUACAAUAUGUGGGGAUACACGUCUAAUGAUUCCAAUUAAAAAAAAAAUAAACCUUGCAAGAUUGUUUUUUCUCCUUAGGAACAUCAUUGCUUUCUGGAGGCAGAAAUGAUUUUACUUUUGAAAUUGAAGGUUAGAGAUCCAUGCAGUUUUGUGUCCUUGAUGUAUGCAAGUUACAUACAGCUUGCCUCUGCAGAUAAACACAAAUUUUGUGUGAUUUUUAAAAAUUAUUUUGGAAGUGCAAAGACUAGCAAGGAAGAUGUGAGAAGUUUAUUUUAUAUAUUUCAAAAUCUUGUGGACUUUUUUGUGGUAUGGGGAGCAGGUAGUGAUGAGUCUUACUAUGAAUGCCUUCAUUAUACCCCAUCCUCAACUCAGACUUUAUUACUCACUGUUACCUAAUGAACUAAAAACAGUUAAUGAUCAUUUGUUUGCUUCAGUGUCUGUAAGCUCCUCCUUUGUUUUUCCUCUAUUCCCCUUAGCCCCUCUCCUGGUGCGUUACCAUACAAAAAGUACUCAAUAACUAUUUGUUGGGUGAGUAAUCAGCACAUUUUCAAAACUCUGAAUCUAUCCAGAUCUGAAAGACAAAAAAAAAAAAGUCCUCUCCGCCAGUCCCUAGCCAAUCACAAAUGUAUUUAGAUCUGUGAGGCUGAUUCCAAGAUGGAGGUCUGCACCCUAACUAGGGGGGGCAUAUGGACCUCACCUGGAAGGUGGCAACAGAAUGCCGAAGGCACCACCCUCCCGCUGCUGCACACUUCCAGUCCUGCCUGCACUGGAAUUGAGCAAAGUGUGUGGGGGAGGAUGCGGCGUGUCUGAACCCUGUUAUGGGGCCCCUUCUUUCCCUCACCUCCGCACCACCACCCCACUGACCUCUGCUCGCCUCUGGGGCUGGGGCUGCUGCUGCAGUCUGGAACCUCGACCUGCCAGGACUGUCUCGGGCCCAGGCCAGGUCCACCACUCUUGCCCUGUGACCUUCAGAUGGUCCUGCUGUUCCUAACUGGCUGGGGUUUUGUCUGUUUUUUUCCAAGGAAGUAGGAAGUUCCAGCAGAAGAUUGUUAAGAAAGGCAUUCCUCUGGCGAGCUUGCCUUGAAUUGGGAGAAUCUAGGACAAUUCCCUCAGGAUGUUUUCAGGGCUGCUUUUUGUCCAGAUCAUUUGAUGUUCAAGAAAAGAAGUACUCAUUUUUCACAUUCAAUUCCUCAUGGCAAGUUGAAGGACGAGGAGAAAAUUGAAGUGGAUCAAGAAUUUGCUCAGAAUGCUGUCUGAAGAUUUCUGCAUCAGUAACUGAGGAGCAAAGGAAAUCUGCCCAGUGGCCCUCCAGCAGAUUUCUCCACAUAUCUAACUGGCCACAACACUGCCUCCCUACAUUUAAUGGAUGUUGAGAAAGUGAGUAUCUCACUUUUCAGCUUCUAUAGUAGAAAAUGGCAGUGAGAAGUCAAUUUCAAAUAGAUUUUGGGUUAAACCACAAAUAUUCUCUUUCCCAAGUGCCCCAUUAGACAGGAAUCUCUUUAAUCACUCAUUUCUAUUUUGCAUUUUCCCUCUUUUUUUCUCUCUCACCCUGAUUAUAAAAGAUAAUAUAUGUAAUUUGUAGACACUGAGUCCUGAUAUCCCGACUCUUGAGAACAGUGCCUCAAAUCACCUUCCAAAUGAGACAUUCGCUUUUUCUAUAUGAUAUCUCAAUCAUUCUAAUCUUGUUUGUUCAUUCCCUGUUUUGAAUUCACUCACUCUCUGAAGAAUGAUCAAACAAACCCUCCUAAGUAGGCUUCCUUUCACACAAAUCCUGAGGAAACUUGUUGUCUUA